AGGGAAUCUUCCGCAAUGGACGAAAGUCUGACGGAGCAACGCCGCGUGAGUGAAGAAGGCCUUCGGGUCGUAAAACUCUGUUGUUAGGGAAGAACAAGUAUCGUUCGAAUAGGGCGGUACCUUGACGGUACCCGGCCAGAAAGCCACGGCUAACUACGUGCCAGCAGCCGCGGUAAUACGUAGGUGGCAAGCGUUGUCCGGAAUUAUUGGGCGUAAAGCGCGCGCAGGCGGUUUCUUAAGUCUGAUGUGAAAUCUUGCGGCUCAACCGCAAGCGGUCAUUGGAAACUGGGAGGCUUGAGUGCAGAAGAGGAGAGUGGAAUUCCACGUGUAGCGGUGAAAUGCGUAGAGAUGUGGAGGAACACCAGUGGCGAAGGCGGCUCUCUGGUCUGUAACUGACGCUGAGGCGCGAAAGCGUGGGGAGCAAAC
rnacentral:rRNA from 1 species